AUCGCUUCCUGGCCCCAGGCUAAGAUCGAAUUUUAGUUUCCGUUCUAAUCAGCUUAAUAUCUGAUUCGCUUCUACCAGAAGCUUCGAUAUUAAAUUGAUUUUUGGAAAUUGGCGAAAGGUUGGAGCUUGCUCCUCCUUUGUCGCGGGUUGGCUCGGAUUUGCACUGUUUCCGAGAAUAGCCCACACCCC
rnacentral:snRNA from 1 species